UCCUUUAGAGACUGUGUUUGUGGCUGACCUACUUCUCACAGAGAACACAGUAGGUUUGCAGUCCUAAAUGGCACCCUUUUCCGUUUAUAGUGCAAUACUUUUGACAGGGCUCUGGUCAAAAGUAGUGCACUAUAGGGGCUUGGGAGCCAUUUGGGACGAACACGGAGUUUGCAGUCCCACGAACUCGCAGUAACAGCAGCAAAUGGAACUUAACAAGACAUUAAUUAAUUGCAACCUACGAUCUUAUCAAGGGGAAGUAAUAAAAGGAGACUAUGAGAAGGGAGUGGGCCACCUGACCAACGCCAUUGCUGUGUGUGGUUAACUCCGGCCGCUCCUCUAGGUGCUCCGCAGACCUACUCCUGUCUUUUAGAUCCUGCUGAAAUGGUCCACUGUCAGCCAGUUUCCCGUGUGCAUCAAGAAUGGUCCACCACCCAAAGGAUAUCCAGCCAACUUGACACAACUAUGGGAGGCAUUGGUGUCUACAUGAGCCAGUGUCUCAUGUAGAGUCCAUGCUAAGAUGAAUUGAUGUUGUUCUGAAAGCAAAAGGUUGGGUUGCAACUCAAUAUUAGGAAGGUGUUCUCAGGGUAUAUAUUUUAUGAAACAUACAAAUUAUAACCUGUUUCUUGACCACAAGAGCUUUUUCUAGGACAGUAAUUACUGUAACCUUUAGGACAAUUUCUCCAUCACAGGUCCCCAUGUGUACAGUAAAGGUAGAUCGUUAACAUAACUUAUGAUGGUUUCAAUGUUCCGAUUAGGCAUGACAAAUCAAUUACCUAUUUACAUUACACUUCACACAAACAUUUCAUAUGCAUUGAAUAUAGGAUUUUCACCAUUGUGUAGUAAGAUGUAUUGACUCGAGCAAAUAUGAUGUAACAAUACUGGAUGGGUAGCGCAAGCAGGUGUCUCGACUAGGUCGGGGUGAAGUCAAGGAUAGUUCACUCAGGCCGUUUACCAUUGUCUACUUAAGAGGGUGGAUCUCCCAUAGACGCCCAAUGUGAUAUCAGCUGGGUCUGGUCUACUUAGUUCAUUGACAUCCACUGAAACAGAAAAAAUGAGGGAGUGGUAUGUCUCGCUUCAUCUUCCGUCUCUGGUGAAGCUCUUGAUUCACCUGGCUUGACCAAGAGGUUAUGCGAUGGGGUCCAGUUGAGGUCACUAUGAAGGAGAUGGGAGACCACGCGCCUAGGGUGCCACGUCAGUUGCUACUUAAAGGGAUACUUUGGGAUUUUUGCAAUGAGGCCCUUUAUCUACUUCCCCAGAGUCAGAUGAACUCAUGGAUACCAUUUUUAUGUCUCUGCCUGCAGUUUGAAGGAAGUUGCUAGCUAGCGCAAUUGCUAACUAGCGUUAGCGCAAUGACUGGAGGCUAACAUUAGUUAGCAUUGGCUAGCAAAACUACCUCUAACUUUCUUCAUGCUUAACACCGAGACAUAAAAAUGGCAUCUGCUUUGGCUAUGUUACACCCUGACCUUAGAGAGCCGUUUUAUUUCUCUAUUUGGUUAGGUCAGUGUGUGAUUUGGCCGAGUGUGGUUCCCAGUCAGAGGCAGCUGUCUAUCGUUGCCUCUGAUUGGGAAUCAUACUUAGGCAGCCUUUUUCCCACCUAAUGUUGUGGGUAAUUAUUUGUUUUCUGUGUGUAUUUGUGUGCACCACGGUUGCGUCACGUUCGGUUUCUGUUUACCUGUUUUUUCAUGAAGGUUUCACUUUAUUAAAGAUGUGGAAUUACAUGCA